rnacentral:misc_RNA from 1 species
UUUUCUUGGCUUGUUGUGGCUGCUAUGGCCGGGUCAUUGAAUGUAUUGCUGACAAACCCGAUAUGGGUUCUUGUGACUCGUAUGCAGACACACACUCAAGCAGAAAAAAAAAUUAUGGAGAGAAAGAAAGAAGUUUUAAUCAGGGAAGCUUCUGAGAGUGGCUUACAAGGUUCAGCUUUACAGGACAAAUUGGCUGAACUUGAUUCAAUAAAACCUCGUCCUUAUGGGACUUUACAUGCGGCAUGUGAAGUUUAUAAUGAAGCUG